rnacentral:lncRNA from 1 species
CGUCGGAAAUGUCUAAAGAAGAGAUUCGUCGCGCCCAACGCAGUGAACUUCAACGAGCUCGGCGACAGGCGCAGCGGGAGUCGACUGACGAAGAAGAUGCGGCCAAGCGAUUGCGAAUGUAGCAACAAAGACAAUUCAUUGCGUUGAAACGUGCCAACGAAGCUGCCGAAGAACGAGGGAAACGAUCGGAGAACGACAGAUAGCACUAGCGUGCCAAGCGCGUUGCCGAUACAAGACGAACAGCGGCAAGCCCGACAAUCUAUAGGUGCGAAUGUUGCAUACCAGCAUCGCAAAGCCGAGGAACGUCUGUCUUUGGCAACGGCUGCGACGGCCAUCUACAAGCAGGGCUUCAUCAACAACCCGUUAGGCUUUGCGUGUUCUACGUGUGACAGACUGUGGCACAAGGAGUACUUGGACUGCGUCACGGUUCCCUUGUACGUGAUUUUGGCCUUGGCCUUCCCCGACAUUGAAGAAUUCUCAUCGUUUAAGGUGCGUAGAACGUGUAAGUCUUCUCUCGCCCAAACUAAAGUGCCUUAUUUUGUACUCUGUGAGCAAUGGGUAUAAUAACCGAUCAAGCCUGCCCACCUCCACCCGCUCAACUGUAUAGCGGAGCGCUUGAUUUCUCCUCGCACGGCCUUCAUGCAAGUGCGAAGGCUGCUCUACAACACUGGCCAGUACGGCGUGAAACCACAAAAGGGUCUUCGUGCAAGUCCGAAAUCCUCCUCCUCCUCUUGUGUCCACCGAGUAACCCUGUAUGCAUUAUGCAACACAGUGUGCAUGACUAUGCGUAUCAUGUGUGCAAUAAAACGGCAGUUCUUCAACGA